rnacentral:ncRNA from 2 species
AUUGCGCCAAUUUGCAACGGUCCCGCGCAAGCGGGUUUGAAAGGGAAUGCCGGAGUUUCAAUUACUGAAACCUAGUCGGCAACUGCCCUCGCAACUGUAGGCGGAGAGCACAUUACUUCAUGGUCGCAUAAAGCGGCAGCCACUGGUGGCAGCAUCGGGAAGGCUGAGUAACGUGUGAUGACCCGUAAGUCAGGAGACCUGCCGUUGUUGUCUAGUUUGA